rnacentral:rRNA from 1 species
GAUGAACGCUAGCUACAGGCUUAACACAUGCAAGUCGAGGGGCAGCGGUAUCUAAAGCUUGCUUUCGGUAGCCGGCGACCGGCGCACGGGUGAGUAACGCGUAUCGAACCUGCCUCAUACUCGUGAAUAGCCUUGCGAAAGUAAGAUUAAUGCCCGGUUUUUUCAGAGUCCCGCAUGAGGCUUUGAACAAAGAUUUAUCGGUAUGAGAUGGCGAUGCGUCACAUUAGCUUGUUGGGGGGGUAACGGCACACCAAGGCAUCGAUGGGUAGGGGUUCUGAGAGGAAGGACCCACACAGGGGAAGAGAGACACGGUACAAACACAUACGGGAGGGAGGAGUGAGGAAUAGUAGUAAAUGGGCGGAAGCCAGAAACAGACAAGUAGCGUGCAGGAAGACGGCCCUCCGGGUAGUAAACUGCUGUUAGUGGGGAAUAAAACGGGGUUCGGGAGCCCGCUUGAAUGUACCAGCAGAAAAAGGACCGGCUAAUUACGUG